AAGUCGUAACAAGGUCUCCGUUGGUGAACCAGCGGAGGGAUCAUUACUGAGUCUAACAAACUCCCAAACCCCUGUGAACAUACCUACUGUUGCUUCGGCGGGAUCGCCCCGGGCGCCUUCGCGGUGCCCCGGAACCAGGCGCCCGCCGGGGACAUCAAACUCUUGAUUGUUAUAGUGGCAUUCUCUGAGUAAAACAUACAAAUAAGUCAAAACUUUCAACAACGGAUCUCUUGGCUCUG
rnacentral:misc_RNA from 1 species